CUUGUCAUGGGUUGUUGGAACACUCAUCAACUCUGAUCUACUGGAAGUGGCUGCCCGGAACGGUACCUUGGGCAGGUCUCUGAAGCUGUGACUGGCGGGUGGUUGGGUGGGUGAGGGAAGAUUCUGUGAUCUUUUAGAAACGUCUGCCAUGGGCAUAGACGGAGUUGGAAGGUCGUCUGUGCUUCCCAUCUCAUGGGAAAUGGUGUGUGGAGAACGGCAGGGAGUGGUUCUGUACCAUCUCUACAGAUCUCCGCAGCCCCUCCCCCACCCCAGGAUCUGUGAGGUCUCAAAGAGGGAGCUGAGCUCUCUGUUCCUGUUCCUCGGAUGACUUGCCUAAAGAUGAAUCACAGCUCCUGCCUCCCUUCCCAGAGUGCCACUGGAACCUUCAGAUGAGACUCUGCAAGGACCAAGGGAGAACUUGGAAUAGACCAGGACAAUACUUGGAUCGCAAGGCACAACUUGUGACAUCUAACUAUGCACCAAAGACAUAAUCAAUGCCAAGUUCUAUGGCUCUGAGAGUCCCCUUCCCCCUAAAAGAACCUUGACCAAGCACACCCUAACUGUCCCAGGCCUGGACGGAAGAGAGCAAGACCCAGAGAGGAGUAAUGGCUGCGUCUUCUGAAGGACUAAGUCCACAUCUAGGACUUGCCUGAGGGAUGGGCUCCCGGUUACCACAAGGCAGGGUUGGGAAGGGCCUAGUCCACACUCCCCCUCCUCCUGUACCUGUCUCUGCCCAAUGCCACAAAUUAUCACAACUCUCUCCCCCCAUCAGCCUGCGUUCGGAAUCCUCCACACAAGGUCCAGUGCUUUGAUACAGUCUUUGGGUUCCAUUAAACCUCGCUGUGUCUCUGA